rnacentral:rRNA from 1 species
AACGAACGCUGGCGGCAGGCCUAACACAUGCAAGUCGAGCGCCCCGCAAGGGGAGCGGCGGACGGGUGAGUAACGCGUGGGAAUUUUCCUCAAGGUACGGAACAACUCAGGGAAACUUGGGCUAAUACCGUAUGAUGUCUAGCGACCAAAGAUUUAUCGCCUUGGGAUAAGCCCGCGUCAGAUUAGGUAGUUGGUGGGGUAACGGCCUACCAAGCCUGCGAUCUGUAGCUGGUCUGAGAGGACGAUCAGCCACACUGGGACUGAGACACGGCCCAGACUCCUACGGGAGGCAGCAGUGGGGAAUCUUGCGCAAUGGGCGAAAGCCUGACGCAGCCAUGCCGCGUGAAUGAUGAAGGUCUUAGGAUU